UUGGAUGCUCUUGGUUAGUUGC
rnacentral:siRNA from 1 species